rnacentral:ribozyme from 13 species
UAAAGUAGGGGAGUUUCUAUUUUUUUUCUUCCCUCCUUUCUUUCCCCUUCCACCCUUUUUCUUCUUGUGUUUGAGAAAUCUCAGGUCACUGACAUCGUCCACCUUUUUAAUAUUCCCUAGAGCAGCGUGGCUCUCAUGAAUCAGUAGAAGAAGAGCAACAAUAAGAAGAAGAGUUACUUUCAUCUUUUUUACUUUCAUAAACGUUCAUAAUCGAAAAAAGUGAA